UUUUCAGAUGUAUGCCAUGUAUGUGUAGCCAUGGUUCUGAAACACCCCCAUUCCUUCUCUUCCUAUCAAUUUUCAUUGAUUCAGUUAUUUGACUAAAUGAUAAUAUAUGCCCCAGGGUUAAUUAGUACCUAAAAUGCUACCUUUGGUUUGUGAAAAAGAUCUAGAGUGGCUUCUGCAGCUCCUGUUAUGUUUCAUUGAUUCAGUCAUGUAGUAGGAUAGUUCCACUGGAUUUUACUAAAUGGUUUUGUAGCUUUACUUAGUGAAAAUGCCUCAAUUGGUUUCCGCAACAUUGCUUGUCUGUUGGCAGCUGGAGCAUACUUGGUACAUGAGCCUUGCUGUGAGUGGUGGUGCAACGGUGACCUUGACGAGCAGGGCAAUGGCCAGACACGAGUAAGACACCAAAGAUGACUGGAAGCACUCAAAAAGUUUACCACGCUGGAGCUAUGUCAGGUUGUACGAGGGCAGUUAAUGAAUAUACUUGCGACCCUUUUACUCUCAGACUCUCCUCCUUUUCUCGCUGCUGAACCCCUGCCAUCAUCAUGUCCAGACUGGCUGUCUCCAUGGUUGUGGCGCCAAGGUCACCGCAUCUUACAUCCUGAUGCAUUUUCAGGAAGACAUUAUUUGAUGUUAGAUGGCCAUUAUGUUCGCUUCAUAUGGACAGAGGACUAAUGGUACUCUUCCAUGAAGAGAAGCAAGUGGAUCAGUAUGUAGUAGCAGGUAUCAAUGUUUUCUCAUACUGAUGAUUCUGAAGUAAUUAGAUUGAGAAAAUUGCUUUAUUCCCCAAUUUCUCUCUGAAACCUUUGCCUUGUCCAUAGUCAUACCUAAAUGAGUUACUUUAUUUCCUAUAGCUCUAUUACUUUUUUCCCUAGAACCUGUCUCUUUAGUCUCCUUUACAAUACCAUGAUCAGGAGGCAAGAAAUAUGUGUGAAUGGAAUAAGAACUGUAUAUAGUUAUUGAUAAGCAUCUUCCAGUAUCUAACAUAUAAAGCCUCCUAGAGCACCCGCCAUUCAGGAGGCCUUCCCGUGCGCAUCAUUCCUGUCCGUUCGAUCUCCUUUGACUUUGGCUCCUGGUCGUUCGAUCAUUUGACUGGUGGUAAUUUUUGGUCACUGUGUAAUUAAUUUC